rnacentral:lncRNA from 1 species
GGACGGGGGCCGGCUGCUGCUGGAGGCCCGCGAGCUGGACGGCCCGGCUGUGUCCCUCCGUCUUCGCGGCCGACCGUGGGGGUGGGGAGCGAUUUGUUCGUCUUUAGGUUGGAUUCGGAACGGCGACGUCUGGAUGCUUGUGUAUCUCUGUCCCUCAGGUUGCUGCGAUGCCUUACAGCUGGGGCCACUUCGGAUUUGUAUAUCUGUCGUUCGAUACCCUGUGUACUCUGCUCUGCUCUUACUUCGAAACGGUCAUUGAGUGCAUUCAUAUUCAGAUAUGGCCUACAGGCGCUCCAUGCCUCACUCGGACUCCCUG